CCUACGGGAGGCUGCAGUGAGGAAUAUUGGUCAAUGGACGAGAGUCUGAACCAGCCAAGUAGCGUGAAGGAUGACUGCCCUAUGGGUUGUAAACUUCUUUUAUAUGGGAAUAAAAUGUUCCACGUGUGGGAUUUUGUAUGUACCAUAUGAAUAAGGAUCGGCUAACUCCGUGCCAGCAGCCGCGGUAAUACGGAGGAUCCGAGCGUUAUCCGGAUUUAUUGGGUUUAAAGGGAGCGUAGGUGGAUUGUUAAGUCAGUUGUGAAAGUUUGCGGCUCAACCGUAAAAUUGCAGUUGAAACUGGCAGUCUUGAGAACAGGAGAGGUGGGCGGAAUUCGUGGUGUAGCGGUGAAAUGCUUAGAUAUCACGAAGAACUCCGAUUGCGAAGGCAGUUCACUGGACUGCAACUGACACUGAGGCUCGAAAGUGUGGGUAUCAAACAGGAUUAGAUACCCUUGUAGUC
rnacentral:rRNA from 1 species